AAAAGAGUGUGGUAACAAGUCUCUCCAGUCGUAGCUCCUGGAUCCUCUACAUCAGUCCUAGUAGGAGUGGUUGUGGGUCUGGUUGUUGCUGGUGUUCUACUGGUCAUUCUCCUGGUCCUGCUGUGGAGAUAUCAAAACAGCAAAGGCCCCCUCAGCCCCAGAGCACCAACCAGGACCCCCAACAGGACCAAGGAUCUACCCAGGGCCAGGCUCCUGAUACUGGGUAU